CUGUAUGUCGUCGUGAGAGAAUAAGAAACGUAGAGGAUGUGUUUGUAAAUAACAAUAUGUAUGACAAUACAUAGACAGUCAUCUCUUUUCUACCUUUUCCCUCAUCCUCAUCCAUACUCAUAUAGUAACACUUAUACCUUUUACUCUCACUUUCACAUAUACUAACUAUAUUGUCUCACAUUCUUUCUAUACCUCUCCUCACUCUCAUUCUCACUCCUGUAGUGAAACUUCUAUUUUUGGCACUAUAACGUGCUACUCGUUUUUUCCAUAUGCUCUGCACGUUGUGCUCUUGACCAUUUAAUUCCAUGCACCCCACUUGGUACCCAAUUUCAUCCCCACUUUUUCGGUCAAGUACGACUUUCCACUUCAACCAUGCGAUGUGGUGGCACAAAAGUCCUAAAUGGAGGUACACGAGUUUUUUCUAUCGUUAAGCAAAAACACGCAACUGAACAAGUGCGCAAUCCUUCCGCAUGAUAGUGGAGUAGAUGAAAAAAACGGCAUCACACGAAGAAAUCCAAGCUUAUCUAUUUCCAGCGGAUUUACCAAUUUUCACCCCUUUUUCCAACAGGUCACACGUUGUGCGAUAUGGUUACUCCUCGUGCAUUUUUAAUCAAAUAGAUAUUCCGCACUAACGUUUUUGUCCGAAAUAACAUUUGAUUUAUCCAAU